GACGAACGCUGGCGGCGUGCUUAACACAUGCAAGUCGAACGGAAAGGCCCUGCUUUUGUGGGGUGCUCGAGUGGCGAACGGGUGAGUAACACGUGAGUAACCUGCCCUUGACUUUGGGAUAACUUCAGGAAACUGGGGCUAAUACCGGAUAGGAGCUCCUGCUGCAUGGUGGGGGUUGGAAAGUUUCGGCGGUUGGGGAUGGACUCGCGGCUUAUCAGCUUGUUUGUGGGGUAGUGGCUUACCAAGGCUUUGACGGGUAGCCGGCCUGAGAGGGUGACCGGCCACAUUGGGACUGAGAUGCGGCCCAGACUCCUACGGGAGGCAGUAGUGGGGAAUAUUGCGCAAUGGGCGGAAGCCUGAUGCAGCAACGCCGCGUGCGGGAUGACGGCCUUCGGGUUGUAAACCGCUUUCGCCUGUGACGAAGCGUGAGUGACGGUAAUGGGUAAAGAAGCACCGGCUCACUACGUG
rnacentral:rRNA from 1 species